UACGUAGGGGGCGAGCGUUGUUCGGAAUUAUUGGGCGUAAAGCGCGUGUAGGCGGUUCGGUAAGGCGGGUGUGAAAACCCGUGGCUCAACCAUGUGGUCUGCAGUCGAUACGGGCAGGCUAGAAUUCGGUAGGGGAGACUGGAAUUCCUGGUGUAGCGGUGAAAUGCGCAGAUAUCAGGAGGAACACCGGUGGCGAAGGCGGGUCUCUGGGCCGAUAUUGACGCUGAGGAGCGAAAGCGUGGGGAGCGAACAGG
rnacentral:rRNA from 1 species